AUCUAUGAGGGUGUGCCUGACUUUGCUCAGACUUAAGUUUCAGUUAAAACGAGACAGAUUUAUGCCAGCGAUAUAAUGCUGUCUCCUUUUAACGGUUUCUUAUGUCUGAGCGGAGUCAAAGUGCGAUCUAUAGAUCUCAGCUUAAGAGACCCGUGCUCAGUAGUGGGCCGGCGAUGGACUGA